rnacentral:rRNA from 1 species
UACGAAGGGGGCUAGCGUUGCUCGGAAUGACUGGGCGUAAAGCGCGCGCAGGCGGCCCUUUAAGUCCGUCGGUCAAAUGCCGGGGCUCAACCCCGAGCGUGCCGAGGAUACUGGAGGGCUGGAGACACGUAGAGGCAAGCGGAAUUCCGGGUGUAGCGGUGGAAUGCGUAGAGAUCCGGAAGAACACCGGAGGCGAAGGCGGCUUGCUGGGCGUGAUCUGACGCUGAGGCGCGAAGGCCAGGGGAGCAAACGGG